GGCCUAAUACAUGCAAGUCGAGCGCCCGUAGCAAUACGGGAGCGGCAGACGGGUGAGUAACACGUGGGAACGUACCCUUCGGUUCGGAAUAACCCAGGGAAACUUGGAUUAAUACCGGAUACGCCCUUACGGGGAAAGAUUUAUUGCCGAAGGAUCGGCCCGCGUCCGAUUAGCUAGUUGGUGGGGUAAAGGCCCACCAAGGCGACGAUCGGUAGCUGGUCUGAGAGGAUGAUCAGCCACACUGGGACUGAGACACGGCCCAGACUCCUACGGGAGGCAGCAGUAGGGAAUAUUGGACAAUGGGCGCAAGCCUGAUCCAGCCAUGCCGCGCGGGUGAUGAAGGCCCUAGGGUUGUAAAGCCCUUUCGGCGGGGAAGAUAAUGACGGUACCCGCAGAAGAAGCCCCGGCUAACUUCGUGCCAGCAGCCGCGGUAAUACGAAGGGGGCUAGCGUUGCUCGGAAUCACUGGGCGUAAAGCGCACGUAGGCGGCUUUUUAAGUCAGGGGUGAAAUCCUGGAGCUCAACUCCAGAACUGCCUUUGAUACUGA
rnacentral:rRNA from 1 species